rnacentral:rRNA from 1 species
GUCUAAGGCCACACCACCCUGAACACACCUAAUCUCGUCUGAUCUCAGAAGCUAAGCAGGGUCAAGCUUGGUUAGAACUUGGCGUGGAAGUGUUCAGUGACACAGGAU